GACAGCAGUAGCCGCGGGAAUACGAAGGGGGCUAGCGUUGUUCGGAUUUACCGGGCGUAAAGGGCGCGUAGGCGGACUGAUAAGUCAGGGGUGAAAUCCCAAGGCUCAACCUUGGAACUGCCUUUGAUACUGUUUGUCUUGAGUUCGAGAGAGGUAAGUGGAACUGCGAGUGUAGAGGUGAAAUUCGUAGAUAUUCGCAAGAACACCAGUGGCGAAGGCGGCUUACUGGCUCGAAACUGACGCUGAGGCGCGAAAGCGUGGGGAGCAAACAGGAUUAGAUACCCCCGUAGUCCCUGUCUCUUAUAC
rnacentral:rRNA from 1 species